rnacentral:lncRNA from 1 species
AUGAAAUACUGUACAUAAAACAUGCUGUAUAUAAAUACUAUAUAAUAUAUAAUAUAAUAUAAAUAUAAUACUCAUAUAAAACAUAUAAUGAUAUGUAGCUCACUCUCUUCUCCAGGCUCAUUUCUCACUGUUCCCUUAGACUCCCUUUUAUUCCAGCCUUGGAAAAGUAUUGGAAAUUCUCCAAAUAUGUGCUCCCUUUAUACAUCGGCAUGCUUUUGUGUGCUGUUCUCUCUUCCUGCAAUGUCAGUCCUUGUCUACCACACAUACACUUGGUUCUAAGGAAAUCUACCCAAUCCACAGGCCUUACAGCCUUGCCUUGGCCCAACUCCUAUUCCCCCUCCUACUGCUCCAGCAAUAGCUUUUAGACUAGGACGGAUGCAUGUCUCAAGACAGCAACCACUCAAUGAGAGAGACAGUAUUGUUAUCCUUAAAUUACACUGGAGGAAAGCAAAGCACUGAAAUAUUGUAGAGCUGGUGAUGACGGGGUGAAGAUACAAAUCCAGUAGAUUAAUGUCCAAACCCAUGUUCUUAAUCACCAUAUUACCUCUAAUUCAAAGAUGCUUAUUGAAUGAAGAGUUUAAUGAUUAUUGAGACCUAGCCCUGAUACUAUGCCAUGACUGACUGGAAAUAAUGAGCUAAAAUGAAAAGGAAACCAAAACUGAUAUUAAUUCACUUAAAAAGAAGACAAAGAUGCCAACACUUUCACGUUUCAUGAAUGCAAUGUUGAUUGGUCAGAGCAUUUAGAAUAAUGUGAGGGUAUUUUUGUAGAGCUGGAUAUAUGUUUCUGGGAGAAAAUUUUGAUCUAUUGGAGCCAUAGCAUUUGAUUUACACACACACACACAAUCACCUUUUUAAUAUGUCCUGUUAAUUCAAUAUAUACAUUUAAUAUUUUACUUUUUUCUUGAGGCCAGAGUCAAACUUAUGGUAACCUACAUGCAUUUAUUUUUUCUAUCAGAAAAUGUCACAAUGUUUGUCCUUGACAUUGAAGGGGCAAGGCCUUCUGACAGUGCUGCCAAAUCAGUGUCUGCUGUGGUUGGAAAUCCAGCUGUGUUUACUUCUUCCUGGUGCUAGCAGUGCAAAGGAGUAAAAGGGAGAUUUUGGCAAGUAGAAAACUGCAGGAUCUAAAAAUUAUUACUGGAGGGUAAGACUAGAUAAACAAAGAAAAUGAAAUCAAAUGACAUAAUCCUCCUUCUGUUUGUAAGUUUCCAUGAAUUAAAUAUUAAAUGAAACAUAGGAUUAGACAUUUAGAAGCAAUACCUUUGAGAUCGUCAGUAAUUUCCUUUAUUCUCACUUAGUAGUCAUUUUUUCCUAAUUUUUCUUUUUUUCUGAUAUGUGACUUCAAAGCAAAAUGUUGUAAAUACAUAUUUAUUUGCAUUUACAGUAUGUAGCAGAGGUACAGAGGAGAGUGUCUAAGAAUGUGGACCUUUGAGACACAUGGACAUGAAUGAUGGCUGUGCCAGUUGAAUGAAAACCUCCCCAUUUUCUCCCUUUCUGGAGUCCCUAUGGAGUCCUGGGCCUGAAUUCUGGGCGCACCAGUCAUGCUGAAGGACACUCAUGUGUGCAGGAGCUAAAUCUAAUGGGGCAGGAGACAAAGGGUAGAGAUGUCCACAAGGAGUUACAUUCAAAUGGUUUGGCCAGGGGAUUCUGAGAGUAGUUACAGCCACUACAGGGGCCAGCCUGGUAGCAUAACAGUUAAGUUUGCACAUUCUGCUUUGGAGGCCUGGAGUUUGCUGGCCCAGAACCCGGGUGCAGGCCUGCUCACCACUUGUCAAGCCAUGCUGUGGCAGCCAUCCCACGUAUCAAGUAAAGGAAAACAGGCAUGGAUGUUAGCUCAGGGCCAGUCUUCCUCAGCAAAAAGAGGAGGAUUGGCGGCAGAUGUUAGCUCAGGGCUAAUCUUCCUCAAAAAAAAAAAUAAAAAUAAGCCACUAUAAAUAUUUUGAUAUUGUCCAAUUCUUUUAAAAUCAACUUCACCAUCUUUCUGCUUCCCUCAUUAAUGAGAUAAAUAAAAUUUGACACUGCUGACUUUAUUUGGGUUAGUGAUGUUUUCAUAUUUUUGAAAAUCAUCCUUUGACAUUAGAGAUUUGUGGAAUGUGUUAAUAUUCCUAAGAAAUAUCCUAGAAAUUUGUUGAGGGAGUGCACCUGGUGAAAGUCUGGGUUUUCUGCAUCCUUUCUCCCUCCCUGGGUGAGGGAAACUAUGAAUAUGAUGAAGAGAUUGGGUGUUCCCGGAGUGAGGAAGUCUUUCUGUCCCUCCUUCAUCUUUGCUGCCAAGCCCCCAGGCCUCAGCCUUCUCCCCUGCUGGCAGAGGCCCUCCUCUUAGUCAGUGGAUUCUAUCAAUGAUGUUGUGGUGGGGUGAGGGGUGGUGCAGAUUUUUCAGAGCUCUCAAACUGAAACAUCUACAAACCAAACCUUUCUUUUACCAAUAUAGACC